rnacentral:rRNA from 1 species
UAGUCCACGCCGUAAACGAUGUCUACUAGCUGUAGGGGUACUUGAGACCUUUGUAGCGCAGCUAACGCAAUAAGUAGACCGCCUGGGGAGUACGGCCGCAAGGUUAAAACUCAAAUGAAUUGACGGGGGCCCGCACAAGCAGUGGAGCAUGUGGUUUAAUUCGAUGCAACGCGAAGAACCUUACCAGGCCUUGACAUCCUCGGAACUUUCUAGAGAUAGAUUGGUGCCUUCGGGAACCGAGUGACAGGUGCUGCAUGGCUGUCGUCAGCUCGUGUCGUGAGAUGUUGGGUUAAGUCCCGUAACGAGCGCAACCCUUGUCCUUAGUUGCCAGCACAUUAUGGUGGGAACUCUAACGAAACUGCCAGUGCAAACUGUGAGGAAGGUGGGGGAUGACGUCAAAUCAUCACGGGCCCUUACGUCCUGGGGCUACACACGUGCUACAAUGGCCGGUACAGAGAGCAGCCACUUCGCAAGAAGGGAGCGAAUCUAUUAAAACCGGGUCUCAGUUC